rnacentral:rRNA from 1 species
AGAACAAACGCUGGCGGCGUGCCUAAUACAUGCAAGUCGAACGAGGUAGCAAUACCUAGUGGCGCACGGGUGAGUAACGCGUAGAUAAUCUGCCUUUUAGAGGGGGAUAGCUUUCCGAAAGGAAAAUUAAUACCGCAUAAGACCACAAGUACUGAGGUACAAGGGGUUAAAGGAGCAAUCCGCUAAAAGAUGAGUCUGCGUAAGAUUAGCUAGUUGGUAGGGUAACGGCCUACCAAGGCUUUGAUCUUUAGCUGGUCUGAGAGGAUGAUCAGCCACACUGGAACUGAGACACGGUCCAGACUCCUACGGGAGGCAGCAGUAGGGAAUAUUGCACAAUGGAGGAAACUCUGAUGCAGCAACGCCGCGUGAGUGACGAAGGCCUUCGGGUCGUAAAGCUCUGUUGUAUGGGAAGAAAAAAAUGACGGUACAUAUAAGAAAGGACCGGCCAACUUCGUGCCAGCAGCCGCGGU